rnacentral:tRNA from 1 species
GGAGCAGUAGCUCGGUGGUAGAGCUCCCGCUUCGUAUGAGGGAAGUCCUGGGUUGGAUUCCCAGCUGUUUCC